rnacentral:rRNA from 1 species
AGCGAACGCUGGCGGCAGGCUUAACACAUGCAAGUCGAGCGGGCACCUUUCGGGGUGUCAGCGGCGGACGGGUGAGUAACGCGUGGGAACGUGCCCUCUGGUUCGGAAUAACUCAGGGAAACUUGAGCUAAUACCGGAUACGCCCUUUUGGGGAAAGGCUUGCUGCCGGAGGAUCGGCCCGCGUCUGAUUAGCUAGUUGGUGAGGUAACGGCUCACCAAGGCGACGAUCAGUAGCUGGUCUGAGAGGAUGAUCAGCCACACUGGGACUGAGACACGGCCCAGACUCCUACGGGAGGCAGCAGUGGGGAAUAUUGGACAAUGGGCGCAAGCCUGAUCCAGCCAUGCCGCGCGAGUGAUGAAGGCCUUAGGGUUGUAAAGCUCUUUUAUCCGGGACGAUAAUGACGGUACCGGAGGAAUAAGCCCCGGCUAACUUCGUG